UACAGAGGGUGCAAGCGUUGUUCGGAAUUAUUGGGCGUAAAGGGAGUGUAGGCGGUUUGUUAAGUCUUCUGUGAAAUCUACGGGCUUAGCCUGUAAAGUGCAGAGGAAACUAGCAGACUUGAGUGUCGGAGAGGAUAGGGGAAUUCCCGGUGUAGAGGUGAAAUUCGUAGAGAUCGGGAGGAACACCAGUGGCGAAGGCGCCUAUCUGGCUGACAACUGACGCUGAGACUCGAAAGCAUGGGGAGCAAACAGG
rnacentral:rRNA from 1 species